rnacentral:rRNA from 1 species
UACGAAGGGGGCGAGCGUUGUUCGGAUUUACUGGGCGUAAAGGGCGCGCAGGCGGCUUAUUUUGUCAGGCGUGAAAGCCCCGGGCUUAACCUGGGAACUGCGUUUGAUACGGAUGGGCUAGAGUUCGGGAGAGGAGAGUGGAAUUCCCAGUGUAGAGGUGAAAUUCGUAGAUAGUUGGGAAGAACACCGGUGGCGAAGGCGGCUCUCUGGACCGAGACUGACGCUGAGGCGCGAAAGCGUGGGGAGCAAACAGG